CUGCAGUGAAGCUAAAUAUUUUACUCUUCACAGUUUCGGGGUGAUGAUGAAAGUGUUACUGCAUUUAGUUCUGCUGUUCAUCAUUUCAUCUGUUAGUGGUCAGUCUUUGACCUUCUCAGAUUCUGUGGUGAAAAAGCCUGGAGAAUCUGUGACUCUGUCCUGCACUGUGUCUGGAUUCUCAGUGAGCAGCUACUGGAUGGGCUGGAUCCGUCAGAAACCAGGGAAAGCACUGGAGUGGAUUGGGCGGAUAUCUGGCUCAACUGUAUAUUAUGCUCAGUCUCUACAGGGCCAGUUCUCCAUCACCACAGACACCAGCAAAAACAUGCUGUAUUUAGAGGUGAAAAGCCUGAAGACUGAAGACACAGCUGUUUAUUACUGUGCACGAGAGUCACUGUUACACAAAAGACUGCAGGACUGAACAAAAACUAUUCAUGCAUCAGGUCACGAUAGCAAUUCUACCUUUACAUUUAUGCAUUUAGCAGACGCU